GGGGCAAGUGGGGAAUCUUAGACAAUGGGCGCAAGCCUGAUCUAGCCAUGCCGUAUGAGUGAUAAAGGCCCUAGGGUCRUAAAGCUCUUUCUCCAGGGAUGAUAAUGWCAGUAUCUGAUAAAGAAACCCCGGCUAAAUCCCUGCCAGCGCCCGCGGUAAUAUGGAGGGGGUGCGCGUUGUUCGGAAUUACUGGGGGUAAAGCGUACGURGGCGGAUUAAUAAGUUAGAGGGGAAAUCCCAGGGCUCACCCUGGAAUGCCUUUAAAAUUGUUAUUCUUGAGAUCGAGAGAGGUGAGUGGAAUUCCAAGUGUGGAGGUGAAAUUUGUAGAUAUUUGGAGGAACACCAGUGGCGAGGGCGGCUCACUGGCUCGAUACWGACGCUGAGGUASGAAAGUGUGGGGAGCAAACAGAUUAGAUACCCUCGUAGUCCACACCCUAAAMGAUGAAUACCAGACGUCAGCGAGCUNANUUCAGUGUCAAAGCUA
rnacentral:rRNA from 1 species